rnacentral:rRNA from 1 species
CCUACGGGCGGCAGCAGUGGGGAAUAUUGGACAAUGGGCGAAAGCCUGAUCCAGCCAUGCCGCGUGUGUGAAGAAGGCCUUCGGGUUGUAAAGCACUUUCAGUGGGGAAGAAAGCCUUGGGGCUAAUACCCUCGAGGAAGGACAUCACCCACAGAAGAAGCACCGGCUAACUCCGUGCCAGCAGCCGCGGUAAUACGGAGGGUGCGAGCGUUAAUCGGAAUUACUGGGCGUAAAGCGCGCGUAGGCGGUCUGAUAAGCCGGUUGUGAAAGCCCCGGGCUCAACCUGGGAACGGCAUCCGGAACUGUCAGGCUAGAGUGCAGGAGAGGAAGGUAGAAUUCCCGGUGUAGCGGUGAAAUGCGUAGAGAGCGGGAGGAAUACCAGUGGCGAAGGCGGCCUUCUGGACUGACACUGACGCUGAGGUGCGAAAGCGUGGGUAGCAAACAGGAUUAGAUACCCUGGUAGUC